rnacentral:misc_RNA from 1 species
GUCGAAAGCAUUCCCCUCAAGUUAAGAUCAAUAAAACAGAAAACUGCAUGCACUUUUGACUAGAUACAACCUGACUGUACUAAACAAUGUUAAUACAUUAAUUACACAGACUUGUGAAUAAGACUUAUAAAUAACAAGGUGGAGAUCUCUUAGCUAAGAUAUCAGCAGCUGAUGCAUAAAAGCACUGAUAAUAGAAGAUUUGAUAGGCUGAAUGGUACAUCUAUAUUCAGUGACUGGCGUUACACCCUACUACUAAGCGAUACUCGAUAAGUUUGGCGAUCACUUGUGCAAUACGCUCUUCUUUGGUGACUUUGCUUUCUUUGGAGACGCAUUCUUCUGUCUUGCCAAAGCUUCAUAGUCAAUCCUAUCUUUCCACUUACUCUUCCGAAGUUGAACUGGUCGGUUCCCAACAUACUUCCUGAAAGUUCCCCUUGUUUUCGUUUAUCUAAUUCGACUUCAACAGCACACUCCUAGUUGUUGUGAUGCUGUGUCAUCCAGCAAGUCUUCUCGCAUUGGGGGAGGGAGGGGUUUGCAGAUAACACUCUUCCGUCUGGCCAAAUCUUUUGACCAUUCCGGUCUGGUGAUCUUCAAAGAUUUUUAAUCGUCCCUCUUAUCAAGCAUUCAUUUCUUUAAGUGCCACGACAAGGUCUGAAGGGUUGGAAAAACUAACAAAUCCAUAUCCCUUGGUCUUACCAGUCCGCUUUUCUCUCACAACCCUAGCCAUGUUGAAGGAAGGAAAUCUCGAAAAUGCUUUUGACAAAACAUCAUCAUUCACCUCAUUCCCAAGGUUACCACAGAAUAGCCGAAAAUCAUUCUCUGGCCACUCUGCAAGAGUAGGAUCUUCCCAAGUCUGUCCUGCUGCCUUUCGAGGCACAGCUUUCUUUUUCACGCCAGCUUUUUGCUCAAGCUCACUGCUCGCAAGUGCAGCUUUCACAUUCUCAAUUGCUUCGGGCGUGAUUGUCUGUGCAACUCUUUCAAAUAAUUGCUGUGUCUGUAAAUACUGAGGUAAAGAGUAAACGUCGGGAACAGCUGCCGGAGCAGAAUAGACAGGAGGAACAACGGGAGGAGCAGAGUACGGUUGCGACGGUUGUUGUUGGAGAUGUAACGGCGUCGGAAAGUAUGUGCCGUCCAAGUAAUUGUACUGCGACGAAGUCACCGUCGACAUAGUAAUUACCGGUGGACGGAAAUGAGAAAGGAAAUUUUCCGAUCGGUGAAUUUAAGGGCUUGUUUGGAUUGAUU